CGAAGGAUGCAAGCGUUAUCCGGAUUCACUGGGUUUAAAGGGUGUGCAGGUGGGGUAAUAAGUCAGUGGUGAAAGCCCCCGACUCAAUCGGGGAACUGCCAUAGAUACUGUUAUUCUUGAGUGUAGUUGAGGCAGAUGGAAUAUGACAUGUAGCGGUGAAAUGCUUAGAUAUGUCAUAGAACACCGAUCGCGAAGGCAGUCUGCCAAACUAUUACUGACACUGAAACACGAAAGUGCGGGGGAUCAAACAGGAUUAGAUACCCUGGUAGUCCGCACCGUAAACGAUGAUCACUCGUUGUUGGCGAUAUACAGUCAGCGACUAAGCGAAAGCAUUAAGUGAUCCACCUGGGAAGUACGACCGCAAGGUUG
rnacentral:rRNA from 1 species